UCGGGAAUAUUGGACAAUGGAGGAAACUCUGAUCCAGCAAUGCCGCGUGUGUGAUGAAGGCCCUAGGGUUGUAAAGCACUUUCAACGGUGAAGAUGAUGACGGUAGCCGUAGAAGAAGCCCCGGCUAACUUCGUGCCAGCAGCCGCGGUAAUACGAAGGGGGCGAGCGUUGUUCGGAAUUAUUGGGCGUAAAGGGCGCGCAGGCGGUUUGGAUAGUUAGACGUGAAAGCCCUGGGCUUAACCUAGGAACUGCGUUUAAUACUGCCAAACUAGAGAACUAGAGAGGAUAGCGGAACUCCCAGUGUAGAGGUGAAAUUCGUAGAUAUUGGGAAGAACAUCAGUGGCGAAAGCGGCUGUCUGGCUAGUUUCUGACGCUGAGGCGCGAAAGCGUGGGGAGCAAACAGG
rnacentral:rRNA from 2 species